rnacentral:rRNA from 1 species
GACGAACGCUGGCGGCGUGCUUAACACAUGCAAGUCGAACGGAAAGGCCCUGCUUUUGUGGGGUGCUCGAGUGGCGAACGGGUGAGUAACACGUGAGUAACCUGCCCUUGACUUUGGGAUAACUUCAGGAAGCUGGGGCUAAUACCGGAUAGGAGCUCCUGCUGCAUGGUGGGGGUUGGAAAGUUUCGGCGGUUGGGGAUGGACUCGCGGCUUAUCAGCUUGUUGGUGGGGUAGUGGCUUACCAAGGCUUUGACGGGUAGCCGGCCUGAGAGGGUGACCGGCCACAUUGGGACUGCGAUACGGCCCAGACUCCUACGGGAGGCAGCAGUGGGGAAUAUUGCACAAUGGGCGGAAGCCUGAUGCAGCAACGCCGCGUGCGGGAUGACGGCCUUCGGGUUGUAAACCGCUUUCGCCUGUGACGAAGCGUGAGUGACGGUAAUGGGUAAAGAAGCACCGGCUAACUACGUG